AAACCAUCCAUGGAGAUUCAACAAUCAAUCAUGUGACAAAAGGGAACUAUACAAACUUGACAUAGAUACAAUAGAUCAUUUGCAGAUAAUUUAUAACAUCAAACACCAUGUUUACAUAGGGGAUUACAGAGGUUUGUGGGAGAGUAGGCCGAUGUAGCUAUGAAGGAGAUGAUGAUGGAGGUGUUGGUGAAGGCGGCAUCAUGGCGGAGAGGAUGGAGAAAGGGCAGCACGUGAGGUGCACGGCGGCCGUCGGCAGCGCAGGGGGCUCCUCCUGCGCCGGCCGGCCAUCAUGGGGGAGCGCUGCCCCUUAGCCCCCUUCCUCCAUGGCUUAUUGGUGCUGUAGAUGAGCCCUCCCCCAUGGAGAUGAGGCCAUGGGGGAGGCAAAAUUCGUGGCUUUGGUGGCUGCCCAGAAAUCAGAGUUUUCCUCACCUUAUAUGAGCUGGGACGAUCAUCCUUGGCCCUCCGAU
rnacentral:lncRNA from 1 species